rnacentral:rRNA from 1 species
CAGUGGCGCACGGGUGAGUAACGCGUGGAUAAUCUGCCCUUAGGUUUGGGAUAACCCCGGGAAACCGGAGCUAAUACCGAAUGAGACCACGAUGACUUCGGUCGAUGUGGGAAAAGGUGGCCUCUUCUUGAAAGCCAUCGCCGAAGGAUGAGUCCGCGUUUGAUUAGCUUGUUGGUGAGGUAAAGGCUCACCAAGGCUCCGAUCAAUAGCUGGUCUGAGAGGACGAUCAGCCACACUGGAACUGAGACACGGUCCAGACUCCUACGGGAGGCAGCAGUCAGGAAUAUUGGGCAAUGGAGGCAACUCUGACCCAGCAACGCCGCGUGGAGGAUGAAGGCCUUAGGGUCGUAAACUUCUGUCGAGAGGGAAGAAACGCGUACGGUUAAUAUCCGUGCGCCUGACGGUACCUCCAAAGGAAGCACCGGCUAACUCCGUGCCAGCAGCCGCGGUAAUACGGAGGGUGCAAGCGUUGUUCGGAUUUAUUGGGCGUAAAGCGAGUGUAGGCGGUUUGACAAGUCGGGUGUGAAAGCCCAGGGCCCAACCCUGGAACUGCAUCCGAUACUGUCAGGCUAGAGUUCCGGAGAGGAUGGCGGAAUUCCCGGUGUAGGGGUGAAAUCCGUAGAUAUCGGGAGGAACACCAGUGGCGAAGGCGGCCAUCUGGACGGUGACUGACGCUGAGACUCGAAAGUGUGGGUAG